AGGACCCUGUCACUGCUGUCUGUGAGAGCAGGAUGCGGGAUGAGAACACAUGAACACAGUCAGGUCAUCUCCGCAGCCCGGGGACCCCGCUCCCAGGGUAGCACCUGCUGAGGAGCCGAAGGACGUCCUUGGACUCUGCAAGGGUGAAGCCGUGGGGGGGGUGUCACUCCGGGUUGGAGCCGGGCCAGGCUGUGUCAAAGCAGAAGGAGAGAGAGGAUUAGCCUGAGCCCCCCACAUCCUGCUACCUCCGAAUUGGACGUGACGGUACUCACUGAAGCUGAGCGGGACCCAGCCUCCUCGUCCGGGUCUUCCGCUUCUGUCUCACUGUAGCAAUCUAGAGUGAGGAGUUGGAGAACCAUGGAGCGGCGUUGGAGAGGCCAGGGAACUGGAGCUCUGGCGCCCAGCCUGGGAAAGGCAGGAGCUCAGGGAUGUCUGGACCCCUGCUCUGACUCGGUGAUACACUCACCUUCCUUUCUGGCAGAGGGCGCCUGACCCGGAGUCUGGUACUUGGAAAUGCAGGCUGUAGUUGGAGAUAUUGAUGAGUCCUUCGGCCUUUUCAUCCUGGGGGAUCACAGUACAAGGGUCAGCAUGCGACCUCCAGGUCAGCACGGAGCCCUAGGUCAGACAGCCAGCUCCCUAGGUAACUCUCUGGGUUUCUGGAACUCAGGGCAGAAGGUGUGGCCAAGAGGCCCCUCUGAGCAGGAACAGGAGAGCAAAGGUUCCAGAACAGCCAAAGGGAGCAGCUUGCUUAGACAGGCCCUCUCCCAGGAACUGCUUCCUGUCCCAAAGCAUUUUUCCCUUCCUGGUUUUCCUUUUCCCUAACAAACAUCCAAACACAGCUUUCCAAAGAAGCUUCUAGACUCCUUGGACUAGAUCAGACACCUCUGCUGGGCUCCCAUACAUCGCCUGGAAGUUCCUUCAUCCUAGCACACUGUCCUUAAGGAUGUAUUCAGCUCUUUCCCCCACGGGCCUCUAAGUUACAAGAGGGGCAGGACUCUCCAAAUCUUUCCUGUUCCCCCAGGGCUUUAGAGCUCAGGGAUGGGUCCAGCAGGCACCUGGAUAUCUACUGAGUGAAGAAGGGAUUGAGUGGCCAUCACCAGUGAUAGACUAUCAGAAGAGAAGAGAGAGAGAGUAAAAACGAUUGCCCUACACUUAAAAAAA